GCUUACGGCCACACCGGCCUGAGUACGCCUGAUCUCGUCCGAUCUCGGAAGCUAAGCAAGGUCGGUCCUGGUUAGUACUUGGAUGGGAGACCGCCUGGGAAUACCAGGUGCUGUAAGCU
rnacentral:rRNA from 13 species